rnacentral:lncRNA from 1 species
UCACUGUCCCGGGAGGGGUAUAUAUAGGAAGAGCAGGCAGGCUGAGGUAGACCAUUGAGACACACAGACAUGGUGAAGAUGACCAGGACACCAUGAGCUUCCAGCCCAGUUGUGGAACAACCACCUGCGGACACCAAAGAGCCAAGGAAGAGGGAGGCCCAUUCUCAACCAAAGUCCAAAAGUCCUAUCAAGGUUCCCAAGACUACCCGAAGGAAAAAGGAACCCUUUGAGGAAGUUCCAAGAAAAAGGCCACUCCCUAA